rnacentral:rRNA from 1 species
GAUGAACGCUGGCGGCGUGCUUAACACAUGCAAGUCGAACGGAAAGGCUCCUGCUUGCAGGGGUACUCGAGUGGCGAACGGGUGAGUAACACGUGGGUGAUCUGCCCUGCACUUCGGGAUAAGCCUGGGAAACUGGGUCUAAUACCGGAUAGGACGAUGGUUUGGAUGCCAUUGUGGAAAGUUUUUUCGGUGUGGGAUGAGCUCGCGGCCUAUCAGCUUGUUGGUGGGGUAAUGGCCUACCAAGGCGUCGACGGGUAGCCGGCCUGAGAGGGUGUACGGCAACAUGGGGACUGGGGUACGGCCCGGACCCCUACGGGGGGAGGCGGGGGGAAAAAUGCCAAAAGGGGGGAAGGCCGAUGGAGGGGAGGCCGGGUGGGGAUGACGGCCUUCGGGUUGUAAACUCCUUUCGCUAGGGACGAAGCGCAAGUGACGGUACCUGGAGAAGAAGCACCGGCUAACUACGUG